rnacentral:rRNA from 1 species
UACGUAGGGCGCAAGCGUUGUCCGGAAUUAUUGGGCGUAAAGAGCUCGUAGGCGGUCUGUCACGUCUGCCGUGAAAACCCGAGGCUUAACCUCGUGGCUUGCGGUGGAUACGGGCAGACUAGAGGUAGGUAGGGGAGAACGGAAUUCCCGGUGUAGCGGUGAAAUGCGCAGAUAUCGGGAGGAACACCGGUGGCGAAGGCGGUUCUCUGGGCCUUAACUGACGCUGAGGAGCGAAAGCAUGGGGGAGCGAACAGG